rnacentral:snoRNA from 1 species
CAGUAUAUUACAACUUUCUCAUUGAGGUAGAACUGACAUAUGUACGUACAGUAAUCAGGGCAGGCUAAACAUCUGCUAUCCUGAGAACAGGCACAUGUUCCCAGACCAAGUUCUUUCCCUGGGCCUGUUUUUAUCCAAGCUGGUGAGAAAC